AUACGGGGGGGGCUAGCGUUGUUCGGAAUUACUGGGCGUAAAGCGUACGUAGGCGGACUGAUCAGUUGGGGGUGAAAUCCCAGGGCUUAACCCUGGAACUGCCUUCAAUACUGUCAGUCUUGAGAUUGCAAGAGGUGAGUGGAAUUCCUAGUGUAGAGGUGAAAUUCAUAGAUAUUAGGAGGAACACCAGUGGCGAAGGCGGCUCACUGGUCCAAUACUGACGCUGAGGUACGAAAGCGUGGGGAGCAAACAGGAUUAGAAACCCUAGUAGUCCC
rnacentral:rRNA from 1 species